UUCCAACUGGGAUAGCUCAGAUGGUAGAAUAUAAGGCUCUUAAUCUCAGGGUCGUGGGUUCCAACCCCAUGUUGGGCAAA